rnacentral:rRNA from 1 species
GACGUAGGGGGCGAGCGUUGUCCGGAAUCACUGGGCGUAAAGCGCGUGCAGGCGGUCCGUUAAGUGGCGUGUGAAAUCCCGCAGCUCAACUGUGGGACGCCGCGUCAAACUGGCGGGCUUGAGGGCGGGAGAGGGAAGUGGAAUUCCUGGUGUAGCGGUGAAAUGCGUAGAUAUCAGGAGGAACGCCAGUGGCGAAGGCGGCUUCCUGGCCCGUCCCUGACGCUGAGACGCGAAAGCUGGGGGAGCGAACGGG